rnacentral:rRNA from 1 species
UACAGAGGGGGCAAGCGUUGUUCGGAAUUACUGGGCGUAAAGGGCGCGUAGGCGGCCUGUUAAGUCGAACGUGAAAUCCCUGGGCUCAACCCAGGAACUGCGUCCGAUACUGGCAGGCUUGAAUCCGGGAGAGGGAUGUGGAAUUCCAGGUGUAGCGGUGAAAUGCGUAGAUAUCGGAAGGAACAUCAGUGGCGAAGGCGACUUCCUGGACCAAUACUGACGCUCAGGUGCGAAAGCGUGGGGAGCAAACAGG